rnacentral:rRNA from 1 species
AGGCUUAACACAUGCAAGUCGAGGGGCAGCAUUUUAGUUUGCUUGCAAACUGAAGAUGGCGACCGGCGCACGGGUGAGUAGCACGUAUCCAACCUGCCGAUAACUCCGGAAUAGCCUUUCGAAAGAAAGAUUAAUACCGGAUGGCAUACGAAUAUCGCAUGAUAUUUUUAUUAAAGAAUUUCGGUUAUCGAUGGGGAUGCGUUCCAUUAGUUUGUUGGCGGGGUAACGGCCCACCAAGACUACGAUGGAUAGGGGUUCUGAGAGGAAGGUCCCCCACAUUGGAACUGAGACACGGUCCAAACUCCUACGGGAGGCAGCAGUGAGGAAUAUUGGUCAAUGGGCGCGAGCCUGAACCAGCCAAGUAGCGUGAAGGAUGAAGGCUCUAUGGGUCGUAAACUUCUUUUAUAUGGGAAUAAAGUUUUCCACGUGUGGAAUUUUGUAUGUACCAUAUGAAUAAGGAUCGGCUAACUCCGUGCCAGCAGCCGCGGUAAUACGGAGGAUCCGAGCGUUAUCCGGAUUUAUUGGGUUUAAAGGGAGCGUAGGUGGAUUGUUAAGUCAGUUGUGAAAGUUUGCGGCUCAACCGUAAAAUUGCAGUUGAAACUGGCAGUCUUGAGUACAGUAGAGGUGGGCGGAAUUCGUGGUGUAGCGGUGAAAUGCUUAGAUAUCACGAAGAACUCCGAUUGCGAAGGCAGCUCACUAGACUGUCACUGACACUGAUGCUCGAAAGUGUGGGUAUCAAACAGGAUUAGAUACCCUGGUAGUCCACACAGUAAACGAUGAAUACUCGCUGUUUGCGAUAUACAGUAAGCGGCCAAGCGAAAGCAUUAAGUAUUCCACCUGGGGAGUACGCCGGCAACGGUGAAACUCAAAGGAAUUGACGGGGGCCCGCACAAGCGGAGGAACAUGUGGUUUAAUUCGAUGAUACGCGAGGAACCUUACCCGGGCUUAAAUUGCAACAGAAUAUAUUGGAAACAGUAUAGCCGUAAGGCUGUUGUGAAGGUGCUGCAUGGUUGUCGUCAGCUCGUGCCGUGAGGUGUCGGCUUAAGUGCCAUAACGAGCGCAACCCUUAUCUUUAGUUACUAACAGGUCAUGCUGAGGACUCUAGAGAGACUGCCGUCGUAAGAUGUGAGGAAGGUGGGGAUGACGUCAAAUCAGCACGGCCCUUACGUCCGGGGCUACACACGUGUUACAAUGGGGGGUACAGAAGGCGGCUACCUGGUGACAGGAUGCUAAUCCCAAAAACCUCUCUCAGUUCGGAUCGAAGUCUGCAACCCGACUUCGUGAAGCUGGAUUCGCUAGUAAUCGCGCAUCAGCCAUGGCGCGGUGAAUACGUUCCCGGGCCUUGUACACACCGCCCGUCAAGCCAUGAAAGCCGGGGGUACCUGAAGUACGUAACCGCAAGGAGCGUCCUAGGGUAAAACUGGUAAUUGGGGCUAAGUGG